AACCCCAGAGUGCAGUCUGGACGAUGGGGCGGGGCGACACUUCGAGGCGGAGCGACACGUGUCGCCCCGCCCAUAUUUGUUUUCCCCGCCUUUGACAUUUUCCUCCGAGCCAGCAGGGGGCAGUUUGCGUUGAAACAAACAGAACGGUGGCAACUACAGCAGCAGAGUAAUAACGCUAUUCCGUUGAUUGCUUGAGGAUGACAUGAUCAGGAGGUGGUGGUGUUCUGUUCUCCUGGACAGCUUUACUCCGCAAAUAGCUCAACCACUGAGGGGAGGAACUUCACCAUUCACCAUGUCUUCAGGCAGAGUCCAGCAAAGCAGCUUCCACUGGAAAUCCUCAGGGAAGUUAUUUUGUCGGCGGGUGACUCUGCAUAUUUGACACUUUCUCUGGUUUGCAGAUGGUUUAGGGUUGUACUCCGAAGUUUUUCGGAAAGCGGCACAGUUUGCCUGGCUAGAGAUUGUGGCCAACUGGAAGAAUUGUCCUCCUGUCUACCGGAACGAGUUCAGACGGAUGUACAGCAUCAGGGAAUGCUUGCAGUGCAGAGCCCUUUUCAAGUUUAACCCACCAGGGUACAGGGAAGAGACCGGCGUGGUGAUCUUCUGGGCUUUUGUUUACACAGGAUUUUGUUCCAAGGACUGUUUUUUUUUUUUUUUGCGGCAUGAAACAGAUUUGUGUCUUAAGUUCAUUGAAGGGAAAUAACUGGUUUUGAUUAUUAAUUGAUGUAAUUUAAAGUUAAACUUUGCACUGUAUAAUGUUUUAAUAAAAAAGCUAUGGAAAACACGUGCAUGACAACAGGUUUCAGUCAUUUACAUCAGUCUAUCAUUCUUUAAGGUUUCUCAUAUUUGAUGAUAACAUGAU